UGGGGAAUAUUGGACAAUGGGCGAAAGCCUGAUCCAGCAAUGCCGCGUGAGUGAAGAAGGCCUUCGGGUUGUAAAGCUCUUUUACCCGGGAAGAUAAUGACUGUACCGGGAGAAUAAGCCCCGGCUAACUCCGUGCCAGCAGCCGCGGUAAUACGGAGGGGGCUAGCGUUGUUCGGAAUUACUGGGCGUAAAGCGCACGUAGGCGGCUUUACAAGUCAGGGGUGAAAGCCCGCGGCUCAACCGCGGAAUUGCCCUUGAGACUGUAUCGCUAGAACACGGGAGAGGUGAGUGGAAUUCCGAGUGUAGAGGUGAAAUUCGUAGAUAUUCGGAAGAACACCAGUGGCGAAGGCGGCUCACUGGACCGUAGUUGACGCUGAGGUGCGAAAGCGUGGGGAGCAAACA
rnacentral:rRNA from 1 species